UAACCUCUGACGAAAAAUCGUGAAUGUUA
rnacentral:ncRNA from 1 species